GGGGGAGGGGGGAGGAAGGAGGUUGCAAGAUUUCUGGGGCUAUCAAUUUAUGGAAAUACAUGUUUGGUGAUUAAGUCAGUACCUUGAAGAGUUUGUUGUCAGUUCGGAAAGCAAUGCCUUGAACAUCAUGCAACCAAAAGGGGAAUGCUGGCACUGUAGCCAGCGGGUGUCAGACCCCGACCUCCUCUAUGGCCAUGGAGCUGACAGGACAUAACCAUUUAAGGCUACUGCCUUUGGUUGAAUGAUAUAUAUAUCCUUUCUAUGUGAAAAGGAUUCGCUUGCAUUAUUGCCUUGGAAUAUUGUUAAUUUGAAGGGAUUUUGUGUUACCCGUA